rnacentral:rRNA from 1 species
GCCUAAAGCGUCCGUAGCCUGUUCUAUAAGUUUCCGGUUAAAUCCAUUAGCUCAACUAAUGGGCCGCCGAAAAUACUGUGGAACUAGGGAGUGGGAGAGGUAGACGGUAUUCGGUAGGAAGGGGUAAAAUCCUUUGAUCUAUCGAGGACCACCUGUGGCGAAGGCGGUCUACCAGAACACGUUCGACGGUGAGGGAUGAAAGCUGGGGGAGCAAACCGGAUUAGAUACCCGGGUAGUCCCAGCUGUAAACUAUGCAAACUCAGUGAUGCAUUGGCUUGUGGCCAGUGCAGUGCCGCAGAGAAGUCGUUAAGUUUGCCGCCUGGGAAGUACGUACGCAAGUAUGAAACUUAAAGGAAUUGGCGGGGGAGCACCACAAGGGGUGAAGCCUGCGGUUCAAUUGGAGUCAACGCCAGAAAUCUUACCCGGAGAGACAGCAGAAUGAAGGUCAAGUUGAAGCCUUUACCAGACAAGCUGAGAAGUGGUGCAUGGCCGUCGCCAGCUCGUGCCGUGAGGUGUCCUGUUAAGUCAGGUAACGAGCGAGAUCCUUGCCUCUAGUUGCUACCAUUACUCUCAGGAGUAGUGGGGCGAAUUAGCGGGACUGCCGUAGUUAAUACGGAGGAAGGAGAGGGCCACGGCAGGUCAGUAUGCCCCGAA